GAUGAACGCUGGCGGCGUGCUUAACACAUGCAAGUCGAACGGUGAAAGCGGGAGCUUGCUCCUGCUGGAUCAGUGGCGAACGGGUGAGUAACACGUGAGCAAUCUGCCCCGAACUCUGGGAUAAGCGCUGGAAACGGCGUCUAAUACCGGAUACGACGCGCGACGGCAUCGUCUGCGCGUGGAAAGAACUCCGGUUCGGGAUGGGCUCGCGGCCUAUCAGCUUGUUGGGGAGGUAACGACCCACCAAGGCGACGACGGGUAGCCGGCCUGGGAGGGUGACCGGCCACACUGGGACUGAGACGCUGCGCAGACUCCUACGGGAGGCAGCAGUGGGGAAUAUUGCACAAUGGGGGCAAGCCUGAUGCAGCAACGCCGCGUGAGGGACGACGGCCUGCGGGUUGUAAACCUCUUUUAGCAGGGAAGAAGCGAAAGUGACGGUACCUGCAGAAAAAGCACCGGCUAACUACGUGCCAGCAGCCGCCGUAACAC
rnacentral:rRNA from 1 species